rnacentral:RNase_P_RNA from 1 species
CGAGUUGGCCGGGCGGCCGCGGAAGACCGACCGGUCCUGCACAGGGGGAGGAGGGACGGCCGGCGAUUCGAGGAAAGUCCGGACUUCACAGAGCAGGGUGAUUGCUAACGGCAAUCCGAGGUGACUCGCGGGACAGUGCCACAGAAAACAGACCGCCAGUACUGGUAAGGGUGAAACGGUGCGGUAAGAGCGCACCAGCAUCCCGGGUGACCGGGAUGGCUUGGCAAACCCCACCCGAAGCAAGGCCAAGAAGAUCGCGUGGGGGCGCGAUUGCGCAGACGCCUGAGGGCUGCUCGCCCGAGUCUGCGGGUAGGCCGCUUGAGGUACCCGGCGACGGUGUACCCAGAUGGAUGGUCGCCACUGAACCCUCGCGGUUCAGUACAGAAUCCGGCUUACAGGCCAGCUCGUUCG